rnacentral:lncRNA from 1 species
AACAGAAGAAGCCAUUUAGAUUUUACAGAAAUGUAGCUCCUCAUACAUUAUAUUGUUCCUAUGAAGAAUUAGAUUGAAUAAAGCUGCUUUGAAUAAAGCUCGUAUUACCAGCUACCACAUGUGAUGGAAAGAAUCCAAGUUAAACACUCUCACCAGAGCAUGCUCCAAGACAGAUGACUGAGCCCCAGGCUUGGCCAAUACAAUGCACUUCUAUUCUCUAUUUAUUUUUGUAGUUCAAAGACCUGGCAGUAACCCACUUGAUGCCUGCCAUAAGGACCAGUACACUCCUGAUUACUGCCCAGCGAUUUUAUAUCUGUAUGCCAGCUACUCAGACCACGUAUAAAGACUAGGGGGAUUUUUUGAAAGGAAAAGAAACCCCGGCUUCCACUUAUACUUUGAAAUUUCAGAUGAUGUACUGCCAACUUACAGACCUUGCUUUAAUCAGCAGCCACAUGAAAAGGCUGUUUCUAUUUACUCUAGGUCAUUUAGGAAACAAGCAAUAAGUAGGCCUUGCAAAAUUUCAGCUUCUCUUAAAGUUGGCAUGUUUUCCUCAAAUAGAGAGUUGAAUCUUGAUUUCAUUUUCUGAGUAGAAAUAUUUACAAUCCUGUCAUACAUGAAUUUUAGCCUUCCUUCUGUCUAACAACAAAUAGGCUUUUUAAAGAAUGCUUAGCGUUAAACUGGAGGCUGUUUUGUAAAGGUGGGUCUGUAUAGAUUUGAAUAAUGACUACGCUGCUUUACUGCUCUAGUUAAAAUUUCAUCAAAUACUGACUUUAGCUGGAAAAAGAUAAUUUAAGCCCAUCCUAUUUUAGUUUUAAAUUGUGUAUAUAUAAAAAGGUAAUCUUGCAGAACAUAAAGUAACAACUACAAUAUUCAGAAAUUCAUUAAUAUUAGAAAGAUAAAAAAUGAUUAGGGUACCAAUAUGUUCUUUGGUCCAUAAUGAAUUUCUUUUCUCUUGGUUGUUCAUACUAUUUUGAUUAUCAGUGUAAUGAAGAGAUUUUGUGUAGUCCUUAAUAUUGUGACAAAGUAUCAUAUUUGUAUUAUCAAUUUUUAAAAAAUAUUUUCUUCCUUUAUUAUGUAGAGUCAAUAUUACACCAUUUUCUGCUGUAAACUUGCAACUUGGUAUCUGACACUUCACACUUCACAAUUGUAAAAGCCUUACAACAAUACAAUUUCACUGAUAC